AUUGAACGCUGGCGGCAGGCCUAACACGUGCAAGUCGAACGGUAACAGGAAGCAGCUUGCUGCUUUGCUGACGAGUGGCGGACGGGUGAGUAAUGUCUGGGAAACUGCCCGAUGGAGGGGGAUAACUACUGGAAACGGUAGCUAAUACCGCAUAACGUCGCAAGACCAAAGAGGGGGACCUUAGGGCCUCUUGCCAUCGGAUGUGCCCAGAUGGGAUUAGCUAGUAGGUGGGGUAACGGCUCACCUAGGCGACGAUCCCUAGCUGGUCUGAGAGGAUGACCAGCCACACUGGAACUGAGACACGGUCCAGACUCCUACGGGAGGCAGCAGUGGGGAAUAUUGCACAAUGGGCGCAAGCCUGAUGCAGCCAUGCCGCGUGUAUGAAGAAGGCCUUCGGGUUGUAAAGUACUUUCAGCGGGGAGGAAGGGAGUAAAGUUAAUACCUUUGCUCAUUGACGUUACCCGCAGAAGAAGCACCGGCUAACUCCGUG
rnacentral:rRNA from 1 species